rnacentral:misc_RNA from 1 species
CAGCUACGGAUGGGGACAAGCUCUGAGGCUGGUCGUCUACUGUCAGCACUUUCUUCGCCUCUAGUGAGGGAAUUAUGGGAGGUCUCGACCUGCGCGUGACUGUCAUCACCAGCCCUUCGGUUGUGUGGAUGGUCGCUCCUGUCGUCAUCUCCACAGGUGGUGCAGUAAUGGCCAUUUGGAAGUUGAAUCGCCUCACUAGCAUUGCUGUAGCUACUAUGUUCUCAAAUGUGGCAAACAUGUCUCCCACGCAUUUGCGAGGUCCGCCACCAAAUGGUAAAUAACUGAAGUUCUGAUUGAUCUCGUUUGGAGUUGGUCCAUCUAUAGGCCAUCUCUCGGGGUUGAAGCUCUCCGCAUCGACCCAAUGCUCUGGAGAGUGGUGGAGAUUCCACACAGAAAUGAAAAUGUCUUCGCCCCUUUUAAUAGGGUACUUCCCGAGCACAUCAUCCUCAAUAGAGCGGCGAAUUAAGACAGGUGGUUGUGGAUAAAGUCUCAAUGAUUCAUUAAUCACUCGAGUAGUAUACUGCAGCUUCUUCAUGUCUUCAAUAGUUGGAAAACGGUCCCCUAGCACAGAAUCAACCUCCUCUUGGAGCUUAGCCAUCACUUUUGGUUCCCGAGAAAGAAGAUAAAAG